rnacentral:rRNA from 1 species
AAGGAGUGUGUAACAACUCACCUGCCGAAUGGACUAGCCCUGAAAAUGGAUGGCGCUGAAGCGGGUCACUUAUACUCCACCACUGGCGCAAAGGCUUGGCGCCAGUGAGUAGGAGGGCGUGAAGGUUGUCGUGCAGCUCGUGGCGCGAGCCAGAGUGAAACGGCCUUUAGUGCAGAUCUUGGUGGUAGUAGCAAAUAUUCAAAUGAGAACUUUGAAGACUGAAGUGGGGAAAGGUUCCACGUGAACAGCAAUUGGACGUGGGUUAGUCGAUCCUAAGAGAUAGGAGAAAUCCGUUAGAAAGCGGGCCGUUCUCGGAUGGCCCCGCCUAUCGAAAGGGAAUCGGGUUAACAUUCCCGAACCAGGACGUGGAUGCCAAGUGGCGACACAAGCGAAGCCGAGGACGGCUGUGGGGGCCCCGACGAGAGUUUUCUUUUCUUGUUAACGAACGCACCGACCCCGGAAUCGGAUUGACCGGAGAUUGGGUGGGAGGUUCGGAAAAGGCGGUCGGCUUUGGACCGUUUCGGUGCGCCCCCAACGCCCCUUGAAAACUCGGCGGCGUGCUUUAUUUGCACUCCUGGCCGUACUCAUCACCGCAUCAGGUCUCCAAGGUUAGCAGCCUCUAGUCGAUAGAAGAAUGUAGUUAAGGGAAGUCGGCAAAAUGGAUCCGUAACCUCGGGAUAAGGAUUGGCUCUCAGGGUUGGGCCUAGGGGUCUCCUUCUGGACGCGGGGAUGCCUGGCUGGACUGCUUCGCGGCGGACGGGCCGGGCGGCCCCGUUGCUUUCCGGGAGGAGAAUAUCCACGGCGAUGAACAACCGGCUGAGAACUGGAGCGGACAAGGGGAAUCCGACU